ACGUUGUAUUGUUACCAAACGAUGGCGCCAACCACCCUUGUGAAAGCAAUCGUCGUCUGUUAAAUAAAAUACUCGAAAACGUUGAGUUUAUGACUUUAUGUCUUUAAGUAUUACGAUUGUUGAUUGUUGAAUCAUUGGAAACGUUAUUUGGUCAUCAUGCCUCCCAAAAGUCCCAAAACUGCUGCAGUUAAGGGAGACAUUCGAAAUUUUUUCACGUCGAUCGCCCCGAAAUCGUCGAAAUCACCGGGUUCAGCAUCGAAUGUGAAAGACGAGGAUGCAGGGAAACGAAAGAAGAAAGCCAUGGUUCUUGUUGACUCCACAGAUUCAGACUCGGAAGGGCCUAUCAUGAAACCAGCGUCCUUAAAGAAAACAAAAGUGGAAGACAUACCAAAGAAGGAGACUGUUGUUUCAGCCUCCAAACUCAAGAAACAUGCCAAAACACCUGAAACUCCACUUCAACCUGUUGACAUCGGCUCAGUAUUCGGCAACAAGCCCAUCCAGAGGAGCAAGGAAAUACCAGAGAAAAGGAAAAGAACAGUCAUUGAAGAUCACAGUGAUGAAGAUUUUGAAGCCACACUGCAGCAGCUGGAUGAAGCCCCAGUGACGAAAAAGUCAAAAGUGGUUGAAAAGUCAACAAGUAAAAAGGGCAAACCCGAUUCUCCAACCAAGAAAGAGAAAAUCAAAUCUCCUGCCAAGGAAGAGAAAUCCAAGUCUAGCCCUCCAUCUAAAAAUGAGAAAACAUCUUCAAAAGAGUCAGCCCGGGUGGAAGUAAAGAGGGAUUCUGACAAGAAGAGAAAGGCUGCUGAUUCAUCCGUCACUCCCAAGAAGAGCACUCCCACUAAGGAUGCCAAACCCAGUGAAGAGAAAGACAAAAGAAUCAAAUCCCAGCUGAAAGAAUUGGACUCUAAUUCAAAUAAAACCUCUUCAACCCCCAAGUCAAACAAAAAGAUGAAGGCGGAGACAACAAUUGUCAAAGAAACUCCCAAAAAGAAGUCGAGCAAAGAUGAUGACGACGACGACCCAGAUGUAAUCGACUCGCCGGCCUUCGAUGCCUUAGAAAAGCGAAAAGAAAAGGCCGAGAAUUACCGGAAAUUCCUUGCUUCUCGCAGAGACGGCGGAGCGAAAAAUCCCGGCAGUAAACCCGUUCCGGAGGGAGCUCCGGGAUGUCUGACGGGAUUGACCAUUGUCGUUACAGGCGUUUUGGAAUCCCUGCACCGUGAAGAGGCCGAAGGGCUUGUCAAGAAAUAUGGCGGCAAAGCGCCUAAAGCUGUCAGCAAGAAUACGACGUAUCUAUUGGCCGGCGAUGAUGCGGGUCCCUCUAAGCUGUCGAAAGCCAAGGAUCUCAAUGUACCCAUGCUCAGUGAAGAUGAUUUCUUGAAAUUGAUCGCCACAAGACCUGCCGGCCAAGGUUUAAGUUCUCCGGCUGCCAAGAAAGCCCCGACGACACCUAGGAGCGCCCAUAAAGCCGCCGCGUCCAAGAAAGCCGAGCCAGAGCCUCCUAGCAAGCCCAUUACUGUUUCUAGUCCGCCCAAGAAGAAAUCCCCCGAACCCAAGAAAAUCGAUCUCAAACCGCAGCAGAGUAGCAGCAGCAGCAGCACGGCCGCUCCUAUCAGGAAAGCCGAGCCCAUUUCGUUAAAAAUGGAAGUCGCCGAAGGAAACGACCAAGCCCAACUACCCUGGGUCGACAAGUACAAACCGACCAGCUUAAAACAAGUGAUUGGAAUGCACGGAGAUCGGAGCAUCGCUAAAAAGUUGGUCUACUGGCUGAAAAGUUGGUACGAUAAUCGCGGCAAGAAACUUGCAAAGCCCAGUCCCUGGUCGACCAACGACGACGGAGCCUUCUUCAAAGCCGCUUUGCUCUCCGGCCCACCUGGCAUUGGAAAAACCACGACGGCCCAUCUGGCGGCCAAGGAGCUGGGCUACGACCUGGUGGAGAUGAACGCUUCGGAUACCAGGAGCAAGCGGCUGCUGCACGAGCACGUGAUGGAGCUCUUGUCGUCGCAAUCGCUGUCGUCGUACGCUCACGGUUCGGCUCAGAUUGAAGGCGGCCGCAAGCGGGUGCUCGUCAUGGACGAAGUGGACGGCAUGGCGGGUAACGAGGACCGCGGCGGGAUCCAGGAGCUGAUUGCCAUGAUCAAAACGUCGAAAAUCCCGGUCGUUUGCAUCUGCAACGACCGGCAGCACCCGAAAAUCAGGAGCCUCUCCAAUUAUUGCUACGAUUUAAAGUUCACCAAGCCGAGAAUCGAGCAGAUCCGCGGGGCCAUGAUGAGCAUCUGCUUCAAAGAGGGACUCAGCUUGAAACCGGAAGCUCUCGACGAGAUCAUCAUGGGAGCCAAUCAGGACGUCCGCCAGGUUCUUCACCACUUGUCGAUGCUGGCCUCGGGCAAGAAGAGCCUGUCGACCGAGAGCGCCAAACUGGAGGCGUCCAAGAGCAAGAAGGAUCUCAAACUGGGACCGUGGGACGUCGUCAAGAAGGUCUUCUCCGCCGAGGAGCACAAAGGAAUGAGCAUCCACGACAAGACGGGCCUCUUUUUCCAGGAUUACAGCUUCGGUCCCUUGUUCGUCCAGGAGAAUUAUCCGUGCGUCGUGCCUCAGGCGGCCAAAGGCAACGCCAUCAAGACGCUGGACUUGCUGGGCCGCACCGCCCACUGCAUGUCUCAGACGGACCUGAUCGAGAAAGUCAUCCGCUCACAGAACGCUUGGAGUCUGCUACCGGUGGAGGCCGUUUUCGCCAGCGUGGUGCCCGGCCAGCUGAUGGAGGGUUUCAUCAGCUCACAAAUCGUGUUUCCCAGUUGGCUGGGCAAGAAUUCGCGCACCAACAAGAUGGACCGUCUCCUGCAGGAGCUGCAGACGCACAUGCGUCUCAAGAUCUCUGGAUCGAAGCGGGCCGUCAAUCUCGACUACCUUCCCUACGUCCUCAAUUCGAUCGUCGGACCUUUGAAGCGGUCAGGAGCCGACGGGGUCAGCGAGGCUAUCCGGGCGAUGGAGAGCUACGAUCUGAUGAGGGAGGAUCUCGACUCGCUCCUCGAGGUGGCUCAAUGGCCACAUAAACCAGACAUCAUGGCCGGAAUCGAAGGCAAAGUCAAGGCGGCCUUCACCCGGGCUUACAACAAAGAAGCUCACAUGACACCGUACGCUGCCGGCCAAGUGAAGAAGGGCCGAUCGAAAGACACGGCCGACGAUUUGGAAGCCCUGGAUGGAGAUGAGGAUGGAUUGGCUGGUGAGGUGGACGAUGAGGAGCAGAGCGAAGAUCCAUCGCUGGAUGCCAUGAUCAAAGUCAAGAAGGAAUCGAAGAAGACGGCCAGCAGCUCAGGAGCAGCGGCAGCAGGAGCGGCGGGCAGGAAAAAAACAGGAGCCCCAGCUGCCACCAGAGGUCGAGGCGGUGGCCGUGGAGGUCGCAAGAAAGCCGCUGAAUAAUUGACCGUGUGUUUUCCUCCGCUGCUAUGCAAUGGGCGGCUCCUGGGCACUGGGGCCGCGUCUCUCUCUUGGGUUUGUUUUUUUCUUUUCUCCUGGUACACCCACUGGAUAUUAUUCCGGCGGAAUACGAAGAAAAGAAGGUUAUUAAUGUUAUAUAUAUCGCUGCACACAGUGGAGAGCUCGAUCUCACAUGUGCCCCACAUCCAUCCAGCAGCAGCGCAACGGCUCCUUGCAUAUUGCAUCGUCUGUGUGUGUGUGUGAAUAUGUGCUCACACGGCAGCAGCAGCAGCCUCUACUAUUAUUAUUACACACGAAUAUAUCCGGAAUGCGGCCCAAUCUUUUCGUGAAACAAAAAGAAAAUAUCUACACACACACACGGACGUGAAGGUUCCGAGACCAAACGGCGUUUGAAUUGAUGGGGACCCUUUCGCCCUCUCGUCAGAGAGAUGGCAAACAAUACGUUUACAUAUAGUUAGAUAUAGUAGUAACACGGAAUAAGGAGCCCGUGAGAGAUGCGUUUAGAUUGUAGAGAGUGGAUGGUUGGGGGGAGAGAGAAUGAGACGUCAUAUUCGGACGGAUGAAACUAAUGAAAAGUUCUCUGU
rnacentral:misc_RNA from 1 species